CAGCACUAUUCCAGAUGUGAAAGCAGUACUUCAUUACAAGUCUCAUUUGAGUUUUAUAAAGGCUAGUGGUAGCUGGUGGCUGAAAUACUGUCUAGUCCUGAAGGAGCAAGCAAGUUUGCAAUGCAGUGUUUGUUUUUUUGAGAAUGUGUGU